UCCCUGGUGGUCUGGUGGUUAAGACUCUGCACUUCCAAGGCACAGGCUCAGGUGCAACCCCUGGUCGGGUAA
rnacentral:tRNA from 1 species